GCAAGCACGGUUUGGGGAGAGAUUUCUCGACGAGCUCCGGGUUCGAGUCCCG
rnacentral:tRNA from 1 species